rnacentral:rRNA from 1 species
CACGAGUACUUGUACUUGGUGGCGACCGGCGCACGGGUGCGUAACGCGUAUGCAACCUACCUUAUACAGAGGGAUAGCCCAGAGAAAUUUGGAUUAAUACCUCAUAGUAUCAUUUGAAGGCAUCUGAGAAUGAUUAAAGAUUUAUCGGUAUAAGAUGGGCAUGCGUAAGAUUAGUUAGUUGGUGAGGUAACGGCUCACCAAGACUUCGAUCUUUAGGGGUUCUGAGAGGAUGAUCCCCCACACUGGUACUGAGAUACGGACCAGACUUCUACGGGAGGCAGCAGUAGGGAAUAUUGGUCAAUGGGCGAGAGCCUGAACCAGCCAUGCCGCGUGCAGGAAGACGGCCUUCUGGGUUGUAAACUGCUUUUAUAUGGGAAGAAAACGGCCUUGCGAGGCAGAUUGACGGUACCAUAUGAAUAAGCACCGGCUAACUCCGUGCCAGCAGCCGCGGUAAUACGGAGGGUGCAAGCGUUGUCCGGAUUUAUUGGGUUUAAAGGGUACGUAGGCGGCCAAUUAAGUCAGUGGUGAAAGCCAGCAGCUCAACUGUUGAACUGCCAUUGAUACUGAUUGGCUCGAGUUCUGUUAA